CGCGGCCUAUCAGCUUGUUGGUGGGGUGAUGGCCUACCAAGGCGACGACGGGUAGCCGGCCUGAGAGGGUGACCGGCCACACUGGGACUGAGACACGGCCCAGACUCCUACGGGAGGCAGCAGUGGGGAAUAUUGCACAAUGGGCGAAAGCCUGAUGCAGCGACGCCGCGUGAGGGGUGACGGCCUUCGGGUUGUAAACCUCUUUCAGCAGGGACGAAGCGCAAGUGACGGUACCUGCAGAAGAAGCCCCGGCCAACUACGUGCCAGCAGCCGCGGUAAUACGUAGGGGGCAAGCGUUGUCCGGAAUUAUUGGGCGUAAAGAGCUCGUAGGCGGUUUGUCGCGUCGGCUGUGAAAUCCCGAGGCUCAACCUCGGGCCUGCAGUCGAUACGGGCAGACUUGAGUGUUGCAGGGGAGACUGGAAUUCCUGGUGUAGCGGUGAAAUGCGCAGAUAUCAGGAGGAACACCGGUGGCGAAGGCGGGUCUCUGGGCCACAACUGACGCUGAGGAGCGAAAGCAUGGGGAGCGAACAGGAUUAGAUACCCUGGUAGUCCAUGCCGUAAACGGUGGGCACUAGAUGUGGGGCUCAUUCCACGAGUUCCGCGUCGCAGCUAACGCAUUAAGUGCCCCGCCUGGGGAGUACGG
rnacentral:rRNA from 1 species